UACAGAGGUCUCAAGCGUUGUUCGGAUUCAUUGGGCGUAAAGGGUGCGUAGGCGGCGCGGUAAGUCGGGUGUGAAAUCUCGGAGCUUAACUCCGAAACUGCAUUCGAUACUGCCGUGCUUGAGGACUGGAGAGGAGACUGGAAUUUACGGUGUAGCGGUGAAAUGCGUAGAUAUCGUAAGGAAGACCAGUGGCGAAGCCGGGUCUCUGGACAGUUCCUGACGCUGAGGCACGAAGGCCAGGGGAGCAAACGGG
rnacentral:rRNA from 1 species